AAUAGAUACCCCGGUAGUCCACGCCGUAAACGAUGGAUACUAGCUGUUGGAGGUAUCGACCCCUUCAGUAGCGAAGCUAACGCGUUAAGUAUCCCGCCUGUGGAGUACGGUCGCAAGACUAAAACAUAAAGGAAUUGACGGGGACCCGCACAAGCGGUGGAUCGUGUUCUUUAAUUCGAUGCUAAACGAAGAACCUUACCAGGGUUUGACAUCCCUUGAAUUAAUCCGAAAGGAUUGAGUGCCUUAUUGAACAAGGUGACAGGUGAUGCAUGGCCGUCGUCAGCUCGUGUCGUGAGAUGUUUGGUUAAGUCCAUCAACGAGCGCAACCCUUGCAAGUAGUUGUAUUUUUCUACUUGGACUGCCCCGGUAACGGGGAGGAAGGAGGGGAUGAUGUCAGGUCAGUAUUCCCUUACAUCCUGGGCUAGAAACACGAUACAAUGGCUAGUACAAUGCGCAGCGAAGCCGCGAGGUGAAGCAAAUCGCAUCAAAGCUAGUCCCAGUUCGGAUUGGAGGCUGAACUGCCUCAUGAAGUCGG
rnacentral:rRNA from 1 species